GAGUUUGAUCCUGGCUCASAUUGAACGCUGGCGGCAUGCCUUACACAUGCAAGUCGAACGGUAACAGGUUAAGCUGACGAGUGGCGAACGGGUGAGUAAUAUAUCGGAACGUGCCCAGUCGUGGGGGAUAACUGCUCGAAAGAGCAGCUAAUACCGCAUACGACCUGAGGGUGAAAGCGGGGGAUCGCAAGACCUCGCGCGAUUGGAGCGGCCGAUAUCAGAUUAGGUAGUUGGUGGGGUAAAGGCCCACCAAGCCAACGAUCUGUAGCUGGUCUGAGAGGACGACCAGCCACACUGGGACUGAWACACGGCCCAGACUCCUACGGGAGGCAKCWKUGGGKAAUUUUGGACAAUGGKCGCAAGCCUGAUCCA
rnacentral:rRNA from 1 species